UACGGAGGGUGCGAGCGUUAAUCGGAAUUACUGGGCGUAAAGCGCACGCAGGCGGUUUGUUAAGCUAGAUGUGAAAGCCCCGGGCUCAACCUGGGAUGGUCAUUUAGAACUGGCAGACUAGAGUCUUGGAGAGGGGAGUGGAAUUCCAGGUGUAGCGGUGAAAUGCGUAGAUAUCUGGGGGAACAUCAGUGGCGAAGGCGACUCCCUGGCCAAAGACUGACGCUCAUGUGCGAAAGUGUGGGUAGCGAACAGG
rnacentral:rRNA from 1 species